CCCACCCUUAGGCUCUGGGAGAAGGGAGACUGGGGAGGUCAGGGGCCUCUCAGAGGGGCCUCACCUGUUAACCCAGCCCCCCAUUUCAGGUCUGAAGGGGCGUCUCGAUUACCUGAGCUCUCUGAAGGUGAAGGGCCUUGUGCUGGGCCCAAUUCACAAGAACCAGAAGGAUGAUGUCGCUCAGACCGACUUGCUGCAGAUCGACCCCAAUUUUGGCUCCAAGGAAGAUUUUGACAGUCUCUUGCAAUCGGCUAAAAAAAAGAGCAUCCGUGUCAUUCUGGACCUUACUCCCAACUACCGGGGUGAGAACUCGUGGUUCUCCACUCAGGUUGACACUGUGGCCACCAAGGUGAAGGAUGCUCUGGAGUUUUGGCUGCAAGCUGGCGUGGAUGGGUUCCAGGUUCGGGACAUAGAGAAUCUGAAGGAUGCAUCCUCAUUCUUGGCUGAGUGGCAAAACAUCACCAAGGGCUUCAGUGAAGACAGGCUCUUGAUUGCAGGGACUAACUCCUCCGACCUUCAGCAGAUCCUGAGCCUACUCGAAUCCAACAAAGACUUGCUGUUGACUAGCUCAUACCUGUCUGAUUCUGGUUCUACUGGGGAGCAUACAAAAUCCCUAGUCACACAGUACUUGAAUGCCACUGGCAAUCGCUGGUGCAGCUGGAGUUUGUCUCAGGCAAGGCUCCUGACUUCCUUCUUGCCGGCUCAACUUCUCCGACUCUACCAGCUGAUGCUCUUCACCCUGCCAGGGACCCCUGUUUUCAGCUAUGGGGAUGAGAUUGGCCUGGAUGCGGCUGCCCUUCCUGGACAGGCUGGAAGUGCAGUGGCAUGAUCUUGGUUCAUUGCAGCCUCCGCCUCCCAGGCCGAAGUGAUCAUCC
rnacentral:sRNA from 1 species